GAAGAACUGACCGCAUCUAGGAAACAGCGGAAUCUACUGCACUUCCUCCGGCCGCACCCAACCGAGGAUCAACUGUUCGAUACGUACUGCACGCACGUCCAGUUAACAAGCAGAGAUCGUUAAUAAGAAUGGAAAGCAAACACCAUUUUUAUUACGUUCUCAAACGAACCGUCAUUUCGUGAUCCUAACGCUUCGAAAUUUCUCCAUUAAUUGAGAGGAAUUUGAUUGCUUCCAAAAUAUUUGAAAAUAGAUGAACGACGUGGAUAAAUGGACACGGUAAACUGAAAAUGUGCAUAAAGGAAGGAAAAUGUAGACAUUACACGCUUGACGUGAAUGGAGAAACGCGCGAGAACGGCGCGUCAUCGCAUUAAUUAUGUAUACGAGCUAAACGAUUAACGUACUUAAUCGAGUGUUUUUCGCGAUAUUUUUGCGUAAGCACAUUAAUCUUAUCUCGUUUUGGACUUUGCUUUCGAACGUAACGAGUCACGACACAGACGUAGCGUCUAUCACGCUUCUUGCGAACAAAGAUUAUUACGAUAUAUCGAAGAAAUAUUUGUAUAAAAUAAUCGAGGAUCAACGUACGAAGAAAGUGAUUUUAAGUAAUCUACGAUAGCGAUUCAUCGUUCCAGCAUGACCAUGAAUUAGGCAAAAACAGUCUCGCUUUCGAACAGGUCACGCAUAAAUUAUUUGAAUUGAAUGCAACCGUGGCUACACCGUGAAAGAAUACGCUAUUAAGACUGUUGGAAAAGCUUUUCAACGCGUCCAAUUAAUUUACAUGUACAGCUCGCCAAUUAAAAGUGAAAAUUGUUCGUAACAUGGAAAGUGAAAGAAACAAAACCGAAUAUUUACUUUUAUGUAGUGUGUAAUUGUUCGUGAAAUAAUCAACGCAACGAUGGAAAUUAAGAUAAGAACUACGGGAUAAGGGAUAACGCGUGAAACACGUGUGAAUUAUUACGAUUUUUGUACGAUUUUAUAGCCUCGUAAAUUUCUUAGAAUGAUCAUUUCUUUUGGUUUGAAUUUUCCUACGUUUUCCUAUUUAUAAGUUCUGCUUGCCAAACGGAUGUACUGUUUAAAAUAAUCAGAGCACGUUAAUUUAUCGCGUUCAAUAUUUCAGGAAUUUCACGUUCCAAAUAAAUCGGAGCAAGCAACAAAAAUCUUAUAAUUCAACCUUAAUAUCUAUCCUGUGCUGUAUAUUUAUGAAAAAAAAGACGAUUUGCCAAUUAUGUGAAACAGUGCAGCAGUUUCUUAAGACUAACGAGUUUCAAUAAAUACAAAACAAUAUCAAAAAUUAGUUAUUCGAUAACAUUUUAAUCAAACAAAAAUAUAUUCGUUCGAGUUACACUUGAGUAUCAUAAAUCAGCCUAGUAUACUUGACCAAAGGAAGCAUAACAAAUGUACAUAUGUAAAUUGAAAAUAAUAAAAUAUCUGCUUUUUCUUC